AAUAUGGGUUGGGUUGAGACUU
rnacentral:miRNA from 1 species